rnacentral:rRNA from 1 species
AUUGAACGCUAGCGGCAGGCCUAACACAUGCAAGUCGAGCGGAUGAAGGGAGCUUGCGCCUGGAUUCAGCGGCGGACGGGUGAGUAAUGCCUAGGAAUCUGCCUGGUAGUGGGGGAUAACGUCCGGAAACGGGCGCUAAUACCGCAUACGUCCUGAGGGAGAAAGUGGGGGAUCUUCGGACCUCACGCUAUCAGAUGAGCCUAGGUCGGAUUAGCUAGUUGGUGGGGUAAAGGCCUACCAAGGCGACGAUCCGUAACUGGUCUGAGAGGAUGAUCAGUCACACUGGAACUGAGACACGGUCCAGACUCCUACGGGAGGCAGCAGUGGGGAAUCUUCGACAAUGGGCGAAAGCCUGAUCCAGCCAUGCCGCGUGUGUGAAGAAGGUCUUCGGAUUGUAAAGCACUUUAAGUUGGGAGGAAGGGCAGUAAGUUAAUCCCUUGCUGUUUUGACGUUACCAACUGAGUAAGCCCCGGCUAACUUCGUG